rnacentral:rRNA from 1 species
GAUGAACGCUGGCGGCGUGCCUAAUACAUGCAAGUCGAGCGAACAGACGAGGAGCUUGCUCCUCUGACGUUAGCGGCGGACGGGUGAGUAACACGUGGAUAACCUACCUAUAAGACUGGGAUAACUUCGGGAAACCGGAGCUAAUACCGGAUAAUAUAUUGAACCGCAUGGUUCAAUAGUGAAAGACGGUUUUGCUGUCACUUAUAGAUGGAUCCGCGCCGCAUUAGCUAGUUGGUAAGGUAACGGCUUACCAAGGCGACGAUGCGUAGCCUACCUGAGAGGGUGAUCGGCCACACUGGAACUGAGACACAGUCCAGACUCCUACGAGAGGCAGCAGUAGGGGAUCUUCCGCAAUGGGCGAAAGCCUGACGAAGCAACGCCGCGUGAGUGAUGAAGGUCUUCGGAUCGUAAAACUCUGUUAUUAGGGAAGAACAAAUGUGUAAGUAACUAUGCACGUCUUGACGGUACCUAAUCAGAAAGCCACGGCUAACUACG